rnacentral:rRNA from 1 species
GAUGAACGCUAGCGGGAGGCUUAACACAUGCAAGUCGAGGGGCAGCAUAGGGUAGCAAUACUCUGAUGGCGACCGGCAAACGGGUGAGUAACGCGUAUGCAACCUACCCUGUACAGGGGGAUAACCCGGAGAAAUUCGGACUAAUAUCCCGUAAUAAUAUCCGGAGGCAUCUUUGGAUAUUUAAAGUUUCGACGGUACGGGAUGGGCAUGCGUAACAUUAGCUGGUUGGUAAGGUAACGGCUUACCAAGGCUAUGAUGUUUAGGGGUCCUGAGAGGGUGGUCCCCCACACUGGUACUGAGACACGGACCAGACUCCUACGGGAGGCAGCAGUGAGGAAUAUUGGUCAAUGGGCGCAAGCCUGAACCAGCCAUCCCGCGUGCAGGAAGACGGCCCUAUGGGUUGUAAACUGCUUUCCAGGGAGAGAAACUUACGCACGUGUUGCGUGACUGACGGUACCCUGGGAAUAAGCAUCGGCUAACUCCGUG